UCUAAUUUUUUUUUCAUAGAAAUUCGACAUAGCCAAGCUGAACUGUAUUUUAAUGGAAAUGGCUGGCAGCAAUUUUUCCAACCAGUUGCGACGCAUAAUUGCGAACGGGCUCCUUUCAGUUAGCUGGAAAAUUAGAUUAUCCUCACCGCGCGGACACAGCACAAAGGAUGCCCGAGGAACGGGUCCAGAAACCGAGAUACACAGCCCAUACUGUGUCAUCCUAACUGCGGAGUGGAAUUCCGUGAAAUCCCAAUUCAAGUGAGUGGAAGAGGUGGAAGAGAGAGGAGCAGCUGAAGACACAGUUCGCCGGAACUGGCUAUAAAGCAGAAGGAGAGGAGGAGGAGGCAAAGAGAGGAUUCCGACAGGCAACAAGAAACCCAAAGCGAGACUCAAAAAACCAGACGCAUGCCCUUUGUGCCCCUGUGUGCGUGAGCCUCUCUGCCCGCCAGUGUGUGUGUGUAUGUGGAGUUCUUAAGUGGCUACCACACUGUCACCCCUCGUCCAUUUAUUUUGUUUUUUUUUUUCGGGGGGGGGGCAAUGGCAAUCACAACAACAGUGUUCCCAGAAAUUGCUUCCAAUUUUAUUUGGCCAAACGAGAUUUCGCGGAAUAGCUCAAAGCUCUAUUGAUAGUCAAAGGAGAACGUUUUUGGGGAAAGGUAGCAAUAGCCAAGCAUAGAUAUGCCAAAUACAGACACACGCACACACAGACACGGCCAUAAUAGAGAAUGCAAAGCGAAAUGCAGCAGUGUUUUUUGUUUUUGGUCAAAGCCUGGCUGGUGAAGCAAAAGCAACAACACUAGCGCACUGGGGCCCCACAAACACACACACACACACAGAAAGCUUGUUCCCGUGUAUUGGUGGUGGAGGCAUCUGCAGAAAGCCUUUUGCGCACUCAUCACAUUUUCGUGGAAAUCAAACCGCCAAAGGAGCUCCGAAAAGCCGUCGUAGUUGUUGUUCUUGCCAUUUACCUUGUAAAAGGAGUGCCAUUGUGGCCGUUUGUCCUUGUAUUCCGCCGCGAUUUGCUGAAGGGCCGACAGCCCACUCGUUUUCUGCUCGCUCAUUGUGCACACUUUGCU